GAUGAACGCUGGCGGCGUGCCUAAUACAUGCAAGUCGAGCGAACAGACGAGGAGCUUGCUCCUCUGACGUUAGCGGCGGACGGGUGAGUAACACGUGGAUAACCUACCUAUAAGACUGGGAUAACUUCGGGAAACCGGAGCUAAUACCGGAUAAUAUAUUGAACCGCAUGGUUCAAUAGUGAAAGACGGUUUUGCUGUCACUUAUAGAUGGAUCCGCGCCGCAUUAGCUAGUUGGUAAGGUAACGGCUUACCAAGGCAACGAUGCGUAGCCGACCUGAGAGGGUGAUCGGCCACACUGGAACUGAGACACGGUCCAGACUCCUAAGGGAGGCAGCAGUAGGGAAUCUUCCGCAAUGGGCGAAAGCUUGACGGAGCAACGCCGAGUGAGUGAUGAAGGUCUUCGGAUCGUAAAACUCUGUUACUAGGGAAGAACAAAUGUGUAAGUAACUAUGCACGUCUUGACGGUACCUAAUCAGAAAGCCACGGCUAACUACGUG
rnacentral:rRNA from 1 species